rnacentral:rRNA from 1 species
GCACACCAGGGGGCAGGGGCAGGGGUAUGACGUGGGGGGGGGGGGGUGUCCGGAAUUAGUGGGCGUAAAGGGAUCGUAGGCGGUCUGUCGCGUCGAAAUGGAAAACUCAGGGCUUAACCCUGAGCCUGCUUCCGAUACGGGCAGACUAGAGGUAUGCAGGGGAGAACGGAAUUCCUGGUGUAGCGGUGAAAUGCGCAGAUAUCAGGAGGAACACCGGUGGCGAAGGCGGUUCUCUGGGCAUUACCUGACGCUGAGGAGCGAAAGUGUGGGGAGCGAACAGGAUUAGAUACCCCAGUAGUC